UACGGGGGGGGCAAGCGUUGUUCGGAAUUACUGGGCGUAAAGGGCUCGUAGGUGGCCAACUAAGUCAGACGUGAAAUCCCUCGGCUUAACCGGGGAACUGCGUCUGAUACUGGAUGGCUUGAGUUUGGGAGAGGGAUGCGGAAUUCCAGGUGUAGCGGUGAAAUGCGUAGAUAUCUGGAGGAACACCGGUGGCGAAGGCGGCAUCCUGGACCGACAUUGACGCUGAACGGCGAAAGCUAGGGGAGCAAACGGG
rnacentral:rRNA from 1 species